rnacentral:rRNA from 1 species
CAAUAGCGUAUAUUAAAGUUGUUGCAGUUAAAAAGCUCGUAGUUGGGUUUCUGGUAGGAGUGACCGUGCCAGACUUGAUUGUCUGUGUAUUGUGUUGUCUCCAGCCAUCCUUGUGGAGAACUUUUCUUGCAUUAAUUUGUAGGGAUUGGGACCCGCAUCGUUUACUGUGAAAAAAUUAGAGUGUUUAAAGCAGGCAAUCGCUUGAAUACAUUAGCAUGGAAUAAUAAGAUAGGACUUUGGUACUAUUUUGUUGGUUUGCAUACCAAAUUAAUGACCAACAGGAACAGUUUGAGGAUAUUCGUAUGAACAUGUCAGAGGUGAAAUUCUUGGAUUUUGAUCAGACGAACUACUGCGAAAGCAUUUAUCAAGGAUGUUUNCAUUA